rnacentral:lncRNA from 1 species
GUAGCCCUAGCUAUGUCGAUUAUUAAAAUUCAAUUUCGAUGGUCACGAAUGACUGCAUGAUAAUCUGAUAGAUAGAGAUCACUGAUGGAUUCAAAAAUUAACAACGAUAAUUUCGAUGAUAUUUGUAGUAUAUUUUACUUCAAUCAGAUAUCAUUAUCAUGAUCAAUUUAGUACGAGAUGAUUUGGACCUUUAAAUAAAAAAUAAGUGAUCA